CCCUUAGACGUUCUGGGCCGCACGCGCGCUACACUGACCAGUGCAACAAGCAUCCGUCCUUGGCCGACAGGCCCGGGCAAUCUUUGAACGCUGGUCGUGAUGGGGAUAGACUUUUGCAAUUUUUGGUCUUCAACGAGGAAUUCCUAGUAAACGCAAGUCAUCAACUUGCAUUGAUUACGUCCCUGCCCUUUGUACACACCGCCCGUCGCUACUACCGAUUGAACGUUUUAGUGAGGUAUUUGGACUGGACCUUCGGAGGUUCGCGCCUCCGUUGCUGUUCGGGAAGACUCCCAAACUUGAGCGUUUAGAGGAAGUAAAAGUCGUAACA
rnacentral:rRNA from 1 species